rnacentral:pre_miRNA from 1 species
AUAAUGGUUCGGUGCACCCGGAUGAUGGUCUUCCAACGACCGUUUUAUUAUACAGGUCGGUGGGACUUUCGUCCGUUUGCAACGCUAUUUUCCACCCA